UUUAAUGAAUCUUCCAAACCAUGCUCGUGGCGAUUGCUUUAACCCAUAUAAAGAUUUUUUAAACUUGCAAACGGUGUUGGUGGUAGUAUGUUCAUGGAACCCAAGAGGUAUAUCUAUAUAGAUUUUUUCUUCAAGUUCACCAUGAAGGAAUGCAUUCUUCACAUCAAAUUGAUUUAAGUUCCAAUUACAAUUAGCUGCUAAAGAUAAUAUCACCCUAUCUGUAUUCAUUUUUGCAACUGGAGCAAAUGUCUUUGAAUAAUCUACUCCAUAGGUUCGAGUGAAUUCUUUGGCUACUAAUCUUGUCUUGUACCUCUCAAUCGAUACAUUUGCCUUGUAUUUAAUAAUGUAUACCCACUUGCACCCUACAUGUUUCUUUCCAUUUGGUAAAGAAACCAAUUCCCAAGUAAUGUUCUUUCCAGUGCCUCCAUCUUCAAAUCCAUGGCUUGUUUCCAUUUCCUGUCAAGACAAUGCCUUAGAUAGAGAGGUAGGUAGUUUUAUAAUGUUCAGAUUUGUAAGGAAGGCUUUAUGGAUAGGUGAAACGUGUUCAAAACUUAGGUAGUUGGAUAAAAGGUAAAAUGGUUGUUUGGUACAGUUUUCUUCCCAUAUCUUAUAUAUUUUUUUCAGAAUCACGUUCAUUUUCAAGAGUAAGGUUAGGAAGUAUAAGGGACUCAUCUUCCUUAUUUAUGCUCUCCCCCUGAAUAUGAGUUUGAAUAAAGUAACUUUCUUGUUCAUGGAAAGUAACGUCUCGAGAGACAAAGAACUUGUGUGACAGUGGAUGAUAACAUUUGUAACCUUUUUGGGUGGAAGAAUAUCCUAUAAAGACACACUUUAAGGCUUUAGGAUCAAGUUUUCCUCUACCAUCACUAUGAAUAUGCACGAACGAUGUACAAUAUCCUAAGAGUGAGGUUACUAGAGGUAGACACAUUAGGAUAGAACGAGGAUAAGACUUCCAUAGGAGUUUUGGAAGCAAGGACACUAGAAGGCAAACAAUUUAUGAGAUAUGAUGCAGUUAAGACUGCCUCUCCCCAAUAUUUCUUCGGAACUUUAUUUUGAAAUAUCAUAGCACGUGUUUGGUCUAACAAAUGCUAUUUUUUCUUUCAGCAAUGCCAUUUUGUUUAGGUGUUUUAACGCAUGAAGACUCAUGAAUGAUACCUUCAUUUUGACACAAAGAAUUAAGAUUAUGAUUAAAAUAAUCCUUGGCAUUAUCAUACUGAAUCCUUAUAAUACUCUUACCAAUUUGAUUUCUAACCAUAGAGAGAAAUUGAGGAGCCACAUGAUUAACUUCAGAUUUUUGCUUAAGUAGACCCAAGUAACCCGAGUACAAUCAUCAAUAAAGGUGAUAAACCAGCGGGCACAUGAAAUAUUUGGAAUAUUAGAUUGAACCCACGCAUUUGUAUGAACUAGAUAAAACGGAAAAAUACUCAUUUUAUUACUAAUGUAGAAAGGUACACGCUUGUGUUUAGUAAGCUCACACACCUCAUAGUGAAGACUCUCAACAUCUAAUGUUUUAAAUAAAACAAGAAAUAACUGCUUAAUGACUCUAAACGAAAGAUGACCCAGGCGAUGAUGGUAUAAGAGAACCUUCUCCCUAUUGGUCUUUAUUUGAUUAUGACAAAAACGAAUUGCUGCUGAGAAAAUAUGGGUUUGAAUCUUUGUUAUCCAAGUAGUAAAGACCAUUCCAUUCUCUAGCACUUCCAAUCGUCCUCUCCAAAUUCUUGUCUUGAAAAACACAAGAGUUAUUAUAGAAAAUAACAUUACAUGAUACUGUAGCACCUCAAAUUUGCACCUAUCAUUAUGCAUACAUUUUCAUAUUAGGUCAUAGCAUAUCAUGAUCCAUUGCAUAGCAUUUGCAUUGUCCCUCAGUUGCCUCAAGAGCAAGCAAUCAAGAAUUAGGUCAAACUAAUCUCCUGAUCAGUCAACCAAGCAAGCAAAGGAAUUUCUCAUUGAAUCAAGGCCUUGGGGUUUGUCCAACAAGUUCACAUGGCUUGGAGGUCUAUUUGAAGUAUUUUGGUCAAGGGUUGAGGGCUCAGAGGUCAGCAGUUCAUGCCCAGACAGUCAAAAGUCAAAGAAGGUCAACUGUCAGUCAAAGCAAUGGAUGGUGGUCAUUCUUGUGGAAUUAGGGCACCAUGGUCAAUAAUCAAGAGUUCAUACAACUUGGGACAUCAUUUGAAGUCAAGUCCUCAAGGAAUCAGGGUUUGGAAAUCAUCAGUCAAUGCACGAUCAGUCAGAAACCCUAAAAGUCAACUGUUGGUCAACUGUCCAUUUAAUCAGUGAUUGGAUGAUUGGAUUUGGUUUGUGGGAGUUCAUUCAUGUCCAAAUGGUCAUCAUACAUCAUGCCAAACACCAUCAUGGAAGAAUUUGAAGCCAGAUCAUGAAUUUCCCAAAGUAGGAACUGGGCCUGUAACUGAAACUUGCCAUAAAUGGAAAGUUUUGAUCCUCAAACUUACAUCAUGAUACAAGCCUCAAAUGAAUUUUUGCCCAACAUGAAAGUUGAAGAUCUUGUUCUCCCAUUUCCAAAAAGUCCUAGAACUCUCAAUUCCCAUGUGUGGUUGGCAAGUUAUGAUCAAAUCGAUUUCAGAAAAUCUUGAACUUCAAAGGGCCAUAUCUCCCAAACCGUUUGGCCAAAUUUGGUGGGGUUUUUUCCUACAAACCACAUUUUUCAUCCUCUUUCCAAAAAUAUAAAUUUCAUGACCUAAAACCUUACCAAUCAAAAUGGCAUUUUUGGACUUUUUUCAUUUAAAUUCAAAGUUUGACCAAGAGUUGACUUUUUGACUCAAACAUUUUUUCAGCAUUUGGCCAAUUGGGACAGCUUAUAAAUGUCAUUUAGAAGGUGUUUGCAAGGUCAAAUUAUGCAGAACAUGUGAAUCUUGUUUGGUUGCUUGAAUUGUAAGAAAAGUACCAUUGCACCAUACUUGUCCAUGCCUUGCCUCGUACCUCAAAAGGACAGCAUUAUGCAGCAACUUUUCUGUCAUGGUGAGCCUAUUUUGCAGCCUAAACCAACAACAGUAAAGGGCCAUGCUUAGUUGCUAAAAGUUGGGCAAAAGUACAUGUGUUUACCAUGCUUCCACAACCAUACUUGUACCAUGGCCAUGAUAGCUUUAAGGAUUUUCCUUUUCUGCAGUAGCAACACAGCAGGGACCAUUCCUUUCACUCAUCAAUAGAUUUUGAACCUUGGCCAUUCUUCACUAAUGCAUUGGUACACAAGCCAUAUUGGAUUUCCAUUUUGCUGUCAAAAACAUCUCUGUCAUAAAAGACCAAGGGAGCCUCACAAAUUAUUUUGGGCCAAAGCAAAUUGAUUGUGCACUCUCACUCUAAAAAACACACAUUGCAUGCCAUUUUCUGUCGACAAACAUAACAACCACACUGCAUACAACUCUCACUCAAAAGAUCCACUUCACCUUGGCCAUUGGGAAAGGAACUGUCAAGCAUCCAACAGUAGGGGCAUUACCAUGCUUGGUACUGCUCAUAGCAGACCAAGGCAAUAACUUGCUGGCACUAAUAGCAGCAAUUGGCAUCACACAAACCCCUUUGACAUUUCUCUUCAAAAACAAGGACCAGUACCAUGUCGUGUACUAUGCAGAAUUGAGGCCACUCUUCCUGUCGUGACAGUAGUGGCAAUAGGGGCAGCAUGGCACAAAAACCACUGAGCCAAGGCAAUUGUUAGGGACAUGCUGAUUUCAAGGAACUUUGCCUUGUCUUCACAAUCCUGCCACCAUACUGCAGCAGGCAAAAAGGAGACUUUUGGCAAAUUGCUCAAAACCAAAAAAAAACUGCUACAGCAGCACAAGACCAAACACCUUGGCAAUGACACCUGGCUGUGCAAUUCAGAGAGGACCAUACCACCAUACUGCAGCAGCAAUUGGCAUCAGAAAAAGCCACUUGGCCAAGGCAAAGAAAAAGGCAUGCUGAUUGAAACAAAAACACUUGGCAACAAAAGAACAAAAACUAACAUUGGGCAUCUGAUUUUUCUUCUAUCCAAAACCAUUAGCAGAAAAAAACAUUUUUUCACUCAUUCUAAAAAAGAUCUCAUCCUUGCCUUGCUUCAUGACACGACUUCCUUACCAUGUGCUGCAAGGAGAUGAAACCUAGCAGACCAACAAAAGGUCAACUGAUGCAAAAACAGGUUUGCUUGGCAUUUGGCAAGAUAGCAAGUGCUGUUUAAAAGUCACAAUAGCAGUUUCUAACAGCAGAAUUGAAAGAGAAAAACUGUUAAAAUUCAUGACCACAACAAGCAACAUAGCACUGCAGCAGAUUUUUUUUGAUUCACCUCACCUUGCUUGUGUAUUUUCUGCCAAAACCUCAUCCAUUCCAAACCCCUGCACCUACUCCCUCAUUUUUAACCUUGGCCUUGGCAUAUCACUCUUUCUGUCAAAAACAAGUGGACCAAAAAACCUAACUUGCUGGUAUUGCAUUCCUAUUUCUUCCUGUCCAACUCAGAACAUUGCCUUGCCAACCAUGACAGUUUGGUUCACCUCUAUUUUGCAUCACUUCUAAACUUUGCCAACAUAACUAAACCUAACCUGCCUUGCAUUUUCUAAAAGCUGUCCAAGCACAAGUGGACCAAACAUCAUCAAACCAACAUGACCUAACCUCAUUCAUACAGGCUCAUCCCACUUGCAUUAACCAACAAAAUCUAACCAAUUUCCUACAAUCUCUAAAACCACCUAACUGCGUUUUGGCCAUUUCUUCACAAACCUGUCCCAAAAACUCAAUGAGCAAAAAGCUUGGCCAUGCCUAGUUUCAUAUCCCAUUUGCAUUUACCAAAACCACCAACCAAACCAGAAAAUCUCAUUGAUACACAUACAUAUCCUUGGCCUUUUCUUCCAAAAAACUGCUAACAAACCAAUAGAACAAACUCACCAUUGCAAAAAUUCAUUUUCUACUCCAAAAUCCAAAUUUUCAAAAAUUAUAUUUUCCCCAAGUCCCUUGCAAACCAUCCAUUCAAACACCUUCCAUAUAACAAGUAGAAGCUAUUGUAGGCAGAAAAUCCCAUCUGUAAUCAUUAAAUCAUCAUAUCCAAAUUUCAAGUCUUCACACUUGCAACUUGAAUUGGCUAGAACAGUUGAGGAGGUUUCAAGGCAAACUCUCAAAGGCAUUACAUUCCUGGAGCAUCAAAGGAGCUAAAGGGAUCAUCUAGCAUCAUUAAAAGCACCUCUAACAUCACAUUCAACAUUGCCCUGUUCAGGUUAGCAACUUGCUUUCGAAUUGCUUGAUAGAAUGGUUUUCAUGACUUGAUGUGUGAAUGAGAAAUGCUGUAUUCAACCCCCUGAACAUGAUUGAAUGCUUACUUUUAUCCAAUUUUGCUUAUGUGUGAUUUUGAGUUUUGCUGCUAGGGAGUUAGGGUUUCGGUGUUCACCACGAAGUAUCUUUGUGCACAAUGCACCAUUUUGAAAUUCAUGACCAUGGUUGUUUUGAGCACAUGAAAUAGAUGAACAUUGGUUUUUAUUUCAUUUGAUUUCGUUCACUAUAGAGGAAGAUAUAUGUUUCUAAAGUUUGAAAAAUAUAGUUGUUUGUGGAGAUGGAGGUGAUGCCAGGGCGCGCGCGUUUCAGUUUUUGAAUUAUUUGUUUUGUUUAUCUUGACUUGGAAGCAGGCUUAUGUCACCAAGUGACUCACAGCCCAGUGGUGGGCGCGCUGAGUUGCAUUGCCAAGGGGAGGGGUUCGAAUCCCAUCUCCCCCAUUUGUGUUUUUUCUUUUGAGAAAAAGGUUUUUUUUUUAAGGUUUUCUUUUAGAACUUCCAUUUUUGAUUUUCGUCUUUUGAUUUUAUUUUAUUUAACAUAGAAUAAAUAUGUGAGCAUGAAAAUGCCAAAAAACAUGAAUGUUUGACUUUGUUGACUUUUUAGACCAUUUUGUGAAUCUAUCCCGAUUUUAUGAGUUCUAUUAAUUAAAUGUCAUCUUGUGCGUUUCAUGUGUUUAUUCCGAUCUUUCCAAACCUGGGAUUUUUGUGUGAAAUCAAUGUAGGGUAGGAACAUGUCCCCUUAGACACUUAGGGUAACCUUUCACACAAUGCUCGAUUUAAUUUUGACAAAGUCCCGAUUAAAUGUUUUUGACCUCAUAAACCUGUCCAAAUGGGAUGAAAUUUGACAUGCUUACCAUGCUAUGUGUUAGGUUUGAUCAUGAUUUAUUUGAUGAUUUUUGGAAAAUGUUUAGAUUGCUUUUGAGUUAAGUCUUUCUGUUGACUUCUAUGAGCUUCUGUUUGCCAUGUUUUGACCUAAAUGGUUCAUGAAAUGAUGAUAGUGAUUGAUAUGAGUGUGAAUCUAAUUGGUUGUGUUUCCUAAUGGUUUGAACAUGAUUUUGGAUACUUGCCCCUUGCUGUUUGGACUUUCUCAUUCACUUUUGACCCUAGGCUUGCCCUAGUGGUCCUGCUACUCACCUUUGAGUUUGUAAUUUCAGGUUGACCAUCAAAUGGCCAUUAAGACCAAUUCUUUUGAUUGAGCUUAUCCAAGCAUCAUUGCCUAACCUCUUUGUUUUGUAGGUGGCUUGGCUCACAUGCCAUAAGCCUUGUGCCUUGCACAUCCAUGUGCCUCCAAUUGACUGUUGGUUUCUGUUUCUGUUUGUUUUGUUUGAAGUUGCAUACUAACAUCUGCUUGACUGUUUCAGGUGCUUUAGUUGCUUAGUUCCUUGUGAACUUUUUGCUUUGCUUUGCUUGUAUAAGCAAUUUGCAUUGAGGCAGGAUAGCUGAUCAACGUCCGCACCGCUACUUAACAAGACUGAAUCGACAGAGAAGUAUGGAUCAAUUUCAAGCUGAGUUGGCUGAGAUGAAGGCUAGCAUGGCCCAGUUUAUGAAUAUGAUGCAAGGGGUUGCACAAGGUCAAGAGGAGCUCCGAGCUAUGGUUCAGAGACAAGAGGCUGCAAAUCCACCGAUCAACCAUGCUCCGCCAGAGGGAGGCCCGGUCAAUGAUAACAAUAUUGCUGCUGCUGUACCCGUCAACAACUACGCUGUAGGUGAUGAGUUGGGGGGUAUUCGAAUCAACGGUCAACCUAUUGUUCCAGAUGCCGCUAAUGCCAGAGUAGUCCGUGCUCCGGCCCGUAAUCCUGCUACGAUUGUUGACAGACAAGAGGAUAUGUUCUCUCUGCUCAGUGAAGACGAAGACAUUCUAGGAAGGGUUAAUGAGAGAGAUCGUAAGGUUGAAGCUCUUGCUGAGAAGAUUCGUGCUAUGGAAAGUCAAAAUUCUCUCGGUUUUGAUGUCACCAAUAUGGGGUUGGUUGAAGGUUUGAGAAUCCCUCACAAGUUCAAAGCGCCGUCCUUCGACAAAUACAACGGUACUUCUUGCCCUCGCACCCAUGUGCAGGCUUACUACAGGAAAAUCUCUGCGUAUACCGAUGAUGAAAAGAUGUGGAUGUAUUUCUUCCAAGAUAGUCUAUCUGGGGCUUCUUUGGACUGGUACAUGGAAUUGAAGAGAGAUUCGAUCCGAUGCUGGAGAGAUCUGGGUGAGGCCUUCUUGAGGCAGUACAAACACAACAUGGAUAUGCCGCCUAGCCGGACUCAGCUGCAGAGUCUAUGUCAGAAAUCCGGAGAAAGCUUCAAGGAGUAUGCUCAGAGGUGGCGUGAACUGGCUGCUAGAGUUCAACCCCCUAUGCUGGAGAGGGAGUUGACGGAUAUGUUUAUCGGUACUCUUCAAGGUGUGUUUAUGGACCGGAUGGGGAGCUGCCCGUUCGGUAGUUUUUCUGAUGUUGUCAUUUGUGGAGAGAGGACUGAGAGUCUAAUCAAAGCUGGUAGGAUCCAUGAUGCUGGUUCCUCGUCUUCAUUAAAGAAACCCUUCUCUGGGGCACCUCGCCGUAGAGAAGGAGAGACCAAUGCUGUACAGCACAGAGGGGGUGUGUACAGAACAAAUGCUAACAGAGAUCAAUAUCGUCCAGUAGCUGCAGUGACUAUUCCGGCACCUCAACCUCGUCAACAACAACAACCAAGAGUUCAACAACCGCAGCAACAACAACAACAGCAGCGUCCUUAUCAGCCCAGACAGAAAUUGCAGGCUGAUAGAAGAUUUGAUCCUUUGCCCAUGUCUUACACAGAAUUAUUACCCGAACUACUCAAGUUGGGGAUGAUUGGGUUGCGUACAAUGGCUCCGCCUACAGUGCUGCCUCCCGGCUAUGAUGCUAAUGUUAGAUGUGACUUUCAUUCUGGGGCACCAGGCCACCAUACUGAGAAGUGUCGAGCUCUCCAGCACAAGGUUCAAGAUUUGAUCGAUGCCAAGGCGAUCAACUUCGCUCCAGUGCCUAACGUCGUGAACAACCCUAUGCCUCAGCAUGGUGGGCAUAGAGUGAACAAUAUUGAGGGGAAAGAAGCUGAAGAUCUGGUUGUUAAUGUUGAUGAUGUUCAGACUUCUCUGCUAGUCGUGAAGGGUCGUCUGCUGAAGGGGGGUGUCUACCCGGGCUGUGAUGAAAAUUGUUUGGGCUGUGCAGAAUCUGAGAAUGGUUGCGACCAGUUGAGGACCGGUAUCCAGGGUAUGAUGGAUGAAGGUUGUUUGCAAUUCAGUAGGGCUGUAAAGGAUCGUGGAACAGCGUCAACUAUCACCAUUUACUUUAAACCGUCUGAGGAACGUGGACAAAGGAUUGUCAGUGCACCCGCAACGAAUGGUACCCCAGUUACCAUUCCCGUGCCUGUAACCAUCAGUGUUCCGACUACUACCGUGGCGUCUGGAAGAAGGGUUGUUGAGAAUAGUAGAGCUGUGCCGUGGAAGUAUGAUAAUGCUCACCGCAAUUACAGAAGGGCUGAAAGUCAGACAAGACCAGUGAAUCAAGCUCUAGUGACAAUUGGUUUACCGAAUAGAGUUCCUGCAACUGUUGGUCCGGCUGUGGAUAAUGUAGGGGGUCCAGGAGGUUUUACCAGAAGCGGUCGUCUGUUCGCACCGCAGCCUUUGAGGGACAAUAAUGCUGAAGCUCUCGCCAGAGCAAAGGGUAAGCAAGCUGUAGUUGAGGAAGAGCCUGUCCAGAAAGAAGCGCCCGAGGGGUCAUUUGAGAAGGAUGUGGAGGAGUUCAUGAAGAUAAUCAAGAAAAGUGACUACAAGAUUGUGGAUCAGUUGAAUCGGACUCCGUCCAAGAUCUCUAUACUUUCACUAUUGAUGUGCUCUGAGGCACACCGUAAUGCCUUGCUGAAGAUGUUGAAUCUGGCUUACGUGCCUCAAGAGAUUUCUGUCAAUCAACUGGAGGGUGUGAUGGCCAAUGUGAGCACCAGACAUGGUGUAGGUUUCACCAACCUGGACUUACCACCUGAAGGGCGAAACCAUAACAAAGCCUUGCACAUUACCAUGGAGUGCAAGGGGGCAGUGUUGUCUCACGUAUUGGUAGACACUGGGUCGUCGCUGAAUGUGUUGCCUAAGCAGAUUCUGAGGAAGAUUGAUGCGGAAGGGUUUGUGCUCAAUCCCAGUGACCUGAUCGUUCGUGCUUUCGACGGAUCCAAACGUUCUGUGUGUGGAGAAGUUACCUUGCCUGUGAAGAUAGGUCCUGAGGUUUUUGAUAUCAUCUUCUAUGUUAUGGACAUCCAGCCUGCCUAUAGUUGUUUGUUGGGGCGUCCAUGGAUUCAUGCAGCAGGGGCAGUCUCGUCGACUCUCCAUCAGAAGCUCAAGUAUGUCUGGAACGGUCAGAUUGUGACUGUGUGCGGUGAAGAAGAGAUUCUGGUGAGUCAUCUGUCCUCGUUCAAAUAUGUUGAGGUGGAUGGCGAGAUCCACGAAACUUUAUGCCAGGCGUUUGAGACUGUGGCUCUUGAGAAAGUGGCGUACGCUGAGCAGAGGAAGCCAGGUGCUUCAAUCACUUCUUACAAGCAGGCUAAGGAGGUCGUUGACUCUGGCAAAACUGAAGGCUGGGGCAAGAUGGUGGAUUUGCCGGUUAAAGAAGACAAAUUUGGUGUUGGUUAUGAGCCUCUCCUAGCAGAGCAGAAUGGUCAAGCGGGUCCGAGUACCUUUACCAGCGCUGGGCUGAUGAAUCAUGGCGACGUCUCUGCAACCAGUAGUGAAGACUGUGACAGUGACUGUAAUCUGGACAACUGGGUUCGCCCGUGUGCACCAGGGGGGUCUAUCAACAACUGGACGGCUGAAGAAGUGGUUCAAGUUACUCUUCUGACAGAAAGCGAUCUUAUGGCAUCCACUAUGAACAGUCCUGUUAUGGCUCAGUAUGAUUUCGAUAAUCCCAUCUACCAAGCUGAAGAGGAGAGUGAGGAAGACUGUGAACUCCCUGCAGAAUUGGCCAGGUUACUGAAGCAGGAGGAAAGGGUCAUCCAACCUCAUCAGGAGGAGUUGGAAACUGUUAAUUUGGGUACUGAGGACGCCAAAAAGGAAAUUAAGAUUGGGGCUGCUUUAGAAGACUCUGUCAAGAGGAGGCUGAUUGAGAUGCUGAAAGAAUAUGUGGAAGUGUUCGCCUGGUCGUAUCAAGAUAUGCCUGGGUUAGAUACAGACAUUGUGAUGCACCGAUUACCUCUUAGAGAAGGAUGUCCUUCGGUCAAGCAGAAGCUUCGUAGAACGAGUCCUGACAUGGCAACUAAGAUCAAGGAAGAGGUUCAGAAGCAGUGGGAUGCGGGUUUUCUGGCUGUCACCAGUUAUCCACCGUGGGUGGCCAACAUCGUUCCUGUGCCGAAGAAGGAUGGUAAAGUCAGAAUGUGUGUCGAUUACCGGGAUUUGAACAGAGCAAGUCCGAAAGAUGAUUUCCCAUUACCUCACAUUGAUGUAUUGGUUGAUAAUACGGCUCAAUCCUCGGUAUUCUCUUUCAUGGAUGGUUUCUCCGGAUAUAAUCAGAUCAAGAUGGCGCCAGAGGAUAUGGAAAAGACGACAUUCAUUACACCUUGGGGCACGUUCUGCUAUAAGGUGAUGCCAUUUGGACUAAAGAAUGCUGGUGCUACCUAUCAGAGGGCAAUGACGACUCUCUUUCAUGACAUGAUGCACAAGGAAAUCGAAGUAUACGUAGAUGAUAUGAUUGCGAAGUCGCAGACAGAAGAGGAGCACCUGGUUAAUUUGCAGAAGCUGUUUGACCGGUUGAGAAAGUUCAAGCUGAGGUUGAAUCCGAACAAGUGUACGUUUGGGGUGAGAUCAGGGAAGCUUUUAGGCUUCAUUGUCAGCGAGAAAGGGAUUGAGGUUGAUCCAGCAAAAGUCAAAGCUAUUCAAGAGAUGCCUGAACCGAAAACGGAGAAGCAAGUCCGUGGGUUUUUAGGGAGGUUGAACUACAUUGCAAGGUUCAUAUCUCAUCUAACUGCUACAUGUGAACCGAUUUUCAAACUGCUUAGAAAGAAUCAAGCAAUCAAGUGGAAUGAUGAUUGUCAGAAAGCUUUUGACAAGAUUAAGGAGUAUUUGCAGAAACCUCCGAUCCUUAUACCUCCAGUUCCAGGGAGACCUCUGAUAAUGUACCUGUCAGUGACUGAGAACUCGAUGGGGUGUGUAUUGGGACAGCAUGACGAGUCUGGUCGAAAAGAGCAUGCCAUAUACUACCUUAGCAAAAAGUUUACCGACUGUGAAACAAGAUAUUCACUGCUCGAGAAAACUUGCUGUGCUUUGGCCUGGGCUGCUCGCCGACUAAGACAGUAUAUGUUGAACCAUACCACUUUGUUGAUUUCUAAGAUGGAUCCAGUGAAGUACAUCUUUGAGAAACCAGCUCUCACCGGACGUGUUGCCCGUUGGCAGAUGAUUCUAACAGAGUAUGACAUUCAGUACACGUCACAGAAGGCCAUCAAAGGUAGUAUUCUGUCAGACUACCUCGCCGAGCAACCGAUUGAAGAUUAUCAGCCUAUGAUGUUUGAAUUCCCUGACGAAGACAUCAUGUAUCUGAAGAUGAAAGAUUGCGAAGAGCCUCUCGUCGAGGAAGGACCGGACCCGGAUGACAAAUGGACACUGAUGUUUGAUGGGGCUGUGAAUAUGAAUGGUAACGGUGUUGGGGCAGUAUUGAUCAAUCCUAAAGGUGCUCAUAUACCUUUUUCUGCCAGACUGACGUUUGACGUCACCAACAACGAAGCUGAGUAUGAGGCUUGUAUCAUGGGGAUAGAAGAAGCCAUUGAUCUGAGGAUCAAAACACUUGACAUAUUUGGAGAUUCAGCUCUAGUGGUCAAUCAAGUCAAUGGAGAUUGGAAUACGAAUCAGCCGCAUUUGAUUCCAUAUAGAGAUUACACCAGAAGAAUACUAACGUUCUUCAAGAAAGUGAAAUUGUAUCAUGUCCCCCGGGAUGAGAAUCAGAUGGCUGAUGCCUUGGCUACUUUGUCAUCUAUGAUCAAAGUUCAUUGGUGGAAUCAUGUGCCACAUGUUGCGGUGAAUCGACUUGAGAGGCCUGCGUAUGUGUUCGCAGCCGAGUCUGUUGCUAUUGAUGAGAAGCCAUGGUAUUAUGACAUCAAGAAUUUCCUCAAGACUCAAGAGUAUCCUGAAGGUGUGUCUAAGAAUGACAAGAAAACCCUGAGGAGGCUAGCUGGAAGCUUCUAUUUGAAUCAGGAUGAUGUGUUGUAUAAGAGAAACUUUGACAUGGUCUUGCUCAGAUGCGUGGACAGGCCCGAGGCAGACAUGUUAAUGCAAGAAGUGCACGAGGGUUCGUUUGGUACCCAUGCUGGUGGUCAUGCAAUGUCGAAGAAAUUGCUGAGAGCUGGUUAUUACUGGAUGACUAUGGAAUCCGAUUGUUUCAAGUAUGCUCGGAAGUGCCAUAAGUGUCAAAUCUAUGCUGACAAGGUGCACGUACCACCAAGCCCUCUGAAUAUCAUGAAUUCGCCUUGGCCGUUUGCCAUGUGGGGCAUUGAUAUGAUUGGGAAGAUUGAGCCUACUGCUUCGAAUGGACAUCGCUUCAUCCUGGUUGCGAUUGACUAUUUCACCAAAUGGGUAGAAGCAGCUUCUUAUGCUAACGUUACCAAACAAGUGGUUACCCGGUUCAUCAAGAAAGAAAUCAUCUGUCGCUACGGAGUUCCUGAGAGAAUCAUCACUGACAAUGGUUCGAAUCUCAACAACAAGAUGAUGAAAGAGCUUUGUAAAGAUUUCAAGAUUGAACAUCACAAUUCUUCUCCUUACAGACCAAAGAUGAAUGGUGCUGUAGAGGCAGCAAACAAGAAUAUCAAGAAGAUUGUGCAGAAGAUGGUCGUUACGUACAAGGAUUGGCAUGAGAUGCUGCCUUUCGCUUUGCAUGGGUACCGUACCUCAGUACGUACGUCGACCGGGGCAACCCCUUACUCCCUUGUGUAUGGUAUGGAAGCUGUCCUACCUGUUGAAGUGGAGAUUCCUUCUCUGAGAGUUUUAUUGGAUGUCAAGCUGGACGAAGCCGAGUGGAUUCGAACAAGGUUUAACGAGUUGAGCCUUAUCGAGGAGAGACGACUAGCAGCUGUAUGUCAUGGACAGUUGUAUCAGAGAAGGAUGAAGCGAGCCUUUGAUCAGAAAGUGCGUCCUCGAAGCUAUCAGAUCGGUGAUCUAGUUUUGAAAAGGAUCCUCCCUCCCGGUACAGAUAACAGGGGCAAGUGGACUCCUAAUUACGAAGGUCCGUAUGUUGUGAAGAAGGUCUUCUCCGGUGGAGCCUUGAUGCUUACAACUAUGGAUGGUGAAGAUUUUCCGUCUCCUGUCAACUCAGAUGUAGUCAAAAAAUACUUCGCAUAAAUUGACCCGCUGGACAAAAAGAAAAAAAGAGUCCAGGCAAAAAUGGGCAUCCCGGCGAACCAAAAAAAAAAAACAGAAAGAAAAGGUUCGGGCAAAAAUUAGGGAUAAAAAUGAAAAAUUCGUACACCCGGUAAGUCGAAAACCCGCAAGGGCGGCUUAGGCAAAAAUGGGUAUCCCGGUGGAUUGAAAACCCGAAAGGGCGAUCCAGGCAAAAGUUAGGGAUUAAAGCGAAGACUACAGUCUGAGUUGUCUGUACUUCAUCAAGCUUUGUCAUCCGCCAUCCCGAAAGAUGUGAUCCGUCCAGUCAUUCUUCUCAGAAAGCAAGGAGUUGGGAGGAAAACUGAUGAUCUGUGAGUUAUAACAGAAUUGGGAAAUAGUGGAUGUCGUGUUCACAUUGCCAUUAGGAUAGAUUUUUUCUUUUAUGCGCAAUUACCUCUUUCUAGGAAUUGCUUCCUAAUGUAUUUGCCUCUUCAGGCACAUUUUCAAUCAAUAAAAAAUCGUUAUUCAGAUAAAUAGCUCUUGUUUUUAUUUUUACUGUUUUGUUUACAAAAUGUCCGAAUUUUUGAUAAGCAUUGCAUAUAAAAAACAUGGAGGCUAAACAAUAGCUUGCAGAAGAUAAAACAUUUGAAAAUCAUUUUGAAUGGUGAGGACACUUGAGCGUAUCUUGUCCAUGUACCCCCUGGGGGCAUUUUGUUGUGCUGUUUUUCAGAUUGGCAUGUGUGAGGACGUUUCCUCAACAGAUAUUUUCCCCAAGCAAGUUUAGAAGCUAUCAGAGUUAUGUUCCCCCGCGAAGACGUCUGUGGAUAGUGCCUUUUAUUCCCCAGCAGAUCUAAGGAUUGCCUAUCCCCAACAGGCCCGUAUUUGCCGAUUUCCUCCCCGAGUGAGGCAGGUUCAUUGAAUUUAUCUCCAACAUUUAUCCUACCUGUGGACUGAAGGAUGUCCCCAGCGGAGUUUAUCUUUCCCCAGUAGCAGUACUAUUCUUCAACAUGAGUGUGAAGUCACUUUACCACUCCUCAAGCAGAGUUCCCCGCAGAGUAUUUCCCCAAGAGGAGUCUCCCCACAGAGUCAGAGCAUCUGAUCAUUUUGGCUCCCCAGCCGGAGUUUUUAUCAUUUUGCAUGUAGUAAUCAUUGCAUCCUCAAAACUGCGUAGCAUUUCCAUUCAAUAUGGAGCAUUACGCCAUAGAAAAAUUCAAACAUAUGCAUUCAUGUGUUAACAUCACCAGACCGUAUCCCCGGCAGAGGCGGAUCAUUUUUGUUCAACAUUUGCACCAAGACUGCUACAGUUGCUCUUAACAGCAUUCAGAGUUGUUUAUUCCCCACAGAGGUUUAUUUCCUCACCCGAUGGUGACAGAGGUUUAUUUCCUCACCCGAUGGUGACAGAGGUUUAUUUCCUCACCCGAUGGUGACAGAAAGUUUGUUUCUCUUCAGUGAGACCCCUAGCAAGUGGUCAACCUUGCCUUGACAUAUCUCAGAUGUCAUUCUUGUGAUACCAGUAAGUGUCAUGCCAGCACCCGCGUGUGUUUCUUUGUUUGGUGUCGGUAAACACCAUUGUUUCGGUGUCUGUAAACAUCGAAUUUCUCAUUCCCAGUCAUCAGUAAAUGUCUGGUCAUCAUUUUUGGUGUCGGUAAACACCAUUGUUUCGGUGUCUGUAAACAUCGAGUAUUUUCUCCAGUCAUCAGUAAAUGUCUGGUCAUCAUUUUUGGUGUCGGUAAACACCAUUGUUUCGGUGUCUGUAAACAUCGAGUAUUUUCUCCAGUCAUCAGUAAAUGUCUGGUCAUCAUUUUUGGUGUCGGUAAACACCAUUAUUUCGGUGUCUGUAAACAUCGAGUAUUUCCACCCAGUCAUCGGUAAAUGUCUGGUCAUUUUUGAUGUCGGUAAACAUCAUCCUUCGAUGUCGGUAAACAUCGAGUCUUUUCCUCAGUCAUCGGUAAAUGUCUGAUAAUCCCCGGCUAAAAAUCCCCAGUAGAGUCAUCUGUAAAUGUCCUAUCUGGUUUCCAGUUGCAAAUAUUUGUAUCUCCCCAAUAAAAUUCUCAUUCCCAGUCAUCGGUAAAUGUCUGGUCAUUUCUUUGGAUGUCGGUAAACAUCAUCUUUCGAUGUCGGUAAACAUCGAGUCUCAUCCCAGUCAUCUGUAAAUGUCUGGUCAAUAAAAUCAAAAUCCCCAGAAGUCGUCGGUAAACGUCUUGUCUGGUAUCACCACAAAGAUUCUGUUCCUCCCCAAGUGGAGAUGCCAUCGGUAAAUGGCCCAGUUUCCUUCGAUAUCGGUAAAUAUCGAAUUCCCAGUUGCAGCAGCCAUCGGUAAAUGGUCUUGCUAAGUUGACAUCGGUAAAUGUCCAGUUUCUUUGAAGAUAUCAUCGGUAAAUGGUCUUGCUUCCUUUCUACAUCAAAAUCUGUUUCCCAGCCGCCAUCGGUAAAUGGUCGUGCUGAAGUUGAUAUCGGUAAAUAUCAAGUUUUAACCAUCGGUAAAUGGUUUUGCUUUUCAGAAGUUUGUUUUCCCCAGCCGCCAUCGGUAAAUGGUCGUGCUGACGUUGAUAUCGGUAAAUAUCAAAUUUCCAGUUUCUAACCAUCGGUAAAUGGUUUUGCUUUUUCUGAAGCUGUCAUGCAGUUUGUCAUCGGUAAGUGACGUGGUUCUUUGGUAUCAUAUCCAGUCUGUGCAAAUUCUACGGUUCUUUGGUAUUCAAUCCCUGUUUACCCUGAAAGUCUGACAGCCGUUGCUAUCAUCCGUUCGGGUUCCCAGCUGAUUGAAUAGGGGCAGCUGUAGCACCUCAAAUUUGCACCUAUCAUUAUGCAUACAUUUUCAUAUUAGGUCAUAGCAUAUCAUGAUCCAUUGCAUAGCAUUUGCAUUGUCCCUCAGUUGCCUCAAGAGCAAGCAAUCAAGAAUUAGGUCAAACUAAUCUCCUGAUCAGUCAACCAAGCAAGCAAAGGAAUUUCUCAUUGAAUCAAGGCCUUGGGGUUUGUCCAACAAGUUCACAUGGCUUGGAGGUCUAUUUGAAGUAUUUUGGUCAAGGGUUGAGGGCUCAGAGGUCAGCAGUUCAUGCCCAGACAGUCAAAAGUCAAAGAAGGUCAACUGUCAGUCAAAGCAAUGGAUGGUGGUCAUUCUUGUGGAAUUAGGGCACCAUGGUCAAUAAUCAAGAGUUCAUACAACUUGGGACAUCAUUUGAAGUCAAGUCCUCAAGGAAUCAGGGUUUGGAAAUCAUCAGUCAAUGCACGAUCAGUCAGAAACCCUAAAAGUCAACUGUUGGUCAACUGUCCAUUUAAUCAGUGAUUGGAUGAUUGGAUUUGGUUUGUGGGAGUUCAUUCAUGUCCAAAUGGUCAUCAUACAUCAUGCCAAACACCAUCAUGGAAGAAUUUGAAGCCAGAUCAUGAAUUUCCCAAAGUAGGAACUGGGCCUGUAACUGAAACUUGCCAUAAAUGGAAAGUUUUGAUCCUCAAACUUACAUCAUGAUACAAGCCUCAAAUGAAUUUUUGCCCAACAUGAAAGUUGAAGAUCUUGUUCUCCCAUUUCCAAAAAGUCCUAGAACUCUCAAUUCCCAUGUGUGGUUGGCAAGUUAUGAUCAAAUCGAUUUCAGAAAAUCUUGAACUUCAAAGGGCCAUAUCUCCCAAACCGUUUGGCCAAAUUUGGUGGGGUUUUUUCCUACAAACCACAUUUUUCAUCCUCUUUCCAAAAAUAUAAAUUUCAUGACCUAAAACCUUACCAAUCAAAAUGGCAUUUUUGGACUUUUUUCAUUUAAAUUCAAAGUUUGACCAAGAGUUGACUUUUUGACUCAAACAUUUUUUCAGCAUUUGGCCAAUUGGGACAGCUUAUAAAUGUCAUUUAGAAGGUGUUUGCAAGGUCAAAUUAUGCAGAACAUGUGAAUCUUGUUUGGUUGCUUGAAUUGUAAGAAAAGUACCAUUGCACCAUACUUGUCCAUGCCUUGCCUUGUACCUCAAAAGGACAGCAUUAUGCAGCAACUUUUCUGUCAUGGUGAGCCUAUUUUGCAGCCUAAACCAACAACAGUAAAGGGCCAUGCUUAGUUGCUAAAAGUUGGGCAAAAGUACAUGUGUUUACCAUGCUUCCACAACCAUACUUGUACCAUGGCCAUGAUAGCUUUAAGGAUUUUCCUUUUUUGCAGUAGCAACACAGCAGGGACCAUUCCUUUCACUCAUCAAUAGAUUUUGAACCUUGGCCAUUCUUCACUAAUGCAUUGGUACACAAGCCAUAUUGGAUUUCCAUUUUGCUGUCAAAAACAUCUCUGUCAUAAAAGACCAAGGGAGCCUCACAAAUUAUUUUGGGCCAAAGCAAAUUGAUUGUGCACUCUCACUCUAAAAAACACACAUUGCAUGCCAUUUUCUGUCGACAAACAUAACAACCACACUGCAUACAACUCUCACUCAAAAGAUCCACUUCACCUUGGCCAUUGGGAAAGGAACUGUCAAGCAUCCAACAGUAGGGGCAUUACCAUGCUUGGUACUGCUCAUAGCAGACCAAGGCAAUAACUUGCUGGCACUAAUAGCAGCAAUUGGCAUCACACAAACCCCUUUGACAUUUCUCUUCAAAAACAAGGACCAGUACCAUGUCGUGUACUAUGCAGAAUUGAGGCCACUCUUCCUGUUGUGACAGUAGUGGCAAUAGGGGCAGCAUGGCACAAAAACCACUGAGCCAAGGCAAUUGUUAGGGACAUGCUGAUUUCAAGGAACUUUGCCUUGUCUUCACAAUCCUGCCACCAUACUGCAGCAGGCAAAAAGGAGACUUUUGGCAAAUUGCUCAAAACCAAAAAAAAACUGCUACAGCAGCACAAGACCAAACACCUUGGCAAUGACACCUGGCUGUGCAAUUCAGAGAGGACCAUACCACCAUACUGCAGCAGCAAUUGGCAUCAGAAAAAGCCACUUGGCCAAGGCAAAGAAAAAGGCAUGCUGAUUGAAACAAAAACACUUGGCAACAAAAGAACAAAAACUAACAUUGGGCAUCUGAUUUUUCUUCUAUCCAAAACCAUUAGCAGAAAAAAACAUUUUUUCACUCAUUCUAAAAAAGAUCUCAUCCUUGCCUUGCUUCAUGACACGACUUCCUUACCAUGUGCUGCAAGGAGAUGAAACCUAGCAGACCAACAAAAGGUCAACUGAUGCAAAAACAGGUUUGCUUGGCAUUUGGCAAGAUAGCAAGUGCUGUUUAAAAGUCACAAUAGCAGUUUCUAACAGCAGAAUUGAAAGAGAAAAACUGUCAAAAUUCAUGACCACAACAAGCAACAUAGCACUGCAGCAGAUUUUUUUUGAUUCACCUCACCUUGCUUGUGUAUUUUCUGCCAAAACCUCAUCCAUUCCAAACCCCUGCACCUACUCCCUCAUUUUUAACCUUGGCCUUGGCAUAUCACUCUUUCUGUCAAAAACAAGUGGACCAAAAAACCUAACUUGCUGGUAUUGCAUUCCUAUUUCUUCCUGUCCAACUCAGAACAUUGCCUUGCCAACCAUGACAGUUUGGUUCACCUCUAUUUUGCAUCACUUCUAAACUUUGCCAACAUAACUAAACCUAACCUGCCUUGCAUUUUCUAAAAGCUGUCCAAGCACAAGUGGACCAAACAUCAUCAAACCAACAUGACCUAACCUCAUUCAUACAGGCUCAUCCCACUUGCAUUAACCAACAAAAUCUAACCAAUUUCCUACAAUCUCUAAAACCACCUAACUGCGUUUUGGCCAUUUCUUCACAAACCUGUCCCAAAAACUCAAUGAGCAAAAAGCUUGGCCAUGCCUAGUUUCAUAUCCCAUUUGCAUUUACCAAAACCACCAACCAAACCAGAAAAUCUCAUUGAUACACAUACAUAUCCUUGGCCUUUUCUUCCAAAAAACUGCUAACAAACCAAUAGAACAAACUCACCAUUGCAAAAAUUCAUUUUCUACUCCAAAAUCCAAAUUUUCAAAAAUAUAUUUUCCCCAAGUCCCUUGCAAACCAUCCAUUCAAACACCUUCCAUAUAACAAGUAGAAGCUAUUGUAGGCAGAAAAUCCCAUCUGUAAUCAUUAAAUCAUCAUAUCCAAAUUUCAAGUCUUCACACUUGCAACUUGAAUUGGCUAGAACAGUUGAGGAGGUUUCAAGGCAAACUCUCAAAGACAUUACAUUCCUGGAGCAUCAAAGGAGCUAAAGGGAUCAUCUAGCAUCAUUAAAAGCACCUCUAACAUCACAUUCAACAUUGCCCUGUUCAGGUGCUUUAGUUGCUUAGUUCCUUGUGAACUUUUUGCUUUGCUUUGCUUGUAUAAGCAAUUUGCAUUGAGCAUCUCCCAUAUUAAAGUUGUUGGACGAAUACUUUCUCAAUAGGAUGAUUCGAAAACUUGGAAGAUAUGUGUAGCUAUGGAGGUUGUGGGUAUGUGAGCAACUCACAAGUUGAUGAUUAAUUAGAGUCUAAGAAAUUUAUGGAUGAACUAAAUUGUUUUUACAAUGGCACAUUCAAAGGAUUAUUAUUUUUAGCACAUUAUUGUUAAAUCACAUUAGUGAUUUGGAUUUAUUACAGCAUGAUUACAUUUUGAAUUUAUUUAAAUAAAUACAAUUUCGUACUUGA